rnacentral:rRNA from 1 species
UUCCCAUGUCGAACACAGAAGUUAAGUCCAUCUACGGCGGAAGUACUUGGGGGUUGCCCCCUGGGAGAUAGGCGAGUGGCCAAGU